rnacentral:rRNA from 1 species
UGGGGAAUCUUGCGCAAUGGGCGAAAGCCUGACGCAGCAAUGCCGCGUGAGGGAAGAAGGUCUUAGGAUUGUAAACCUCUUUCAGCAGGGACGAAAACAGACGGUACCUGCAGAAGAAGCCCCGGCUAACUACGUGCCAGCAGCCGCGGUAAUACGUAGGGGGCGAGCGUUGUCCGGAAUCAUUGGGCGUAAAGAGCGUGUAGGCGGACUGGAAGGUCUGGUGUGAAAGCCCGGGGCUCAACCCCGGAGGGUCACCGGAAACCGACAGUCUUGAAUCUGGAAGAGGAGAGUGGAAUUCCUGGUGUAGCGGUGGAAUGCGCAGAUAUCAGGAGGAACACCGAUGGCGAAGGCAGCUCUCUGGUACAUGAUUGACGCUGAGACGCGAAAGCGUGGGGAGCGAACAGG